rnacentral:rRNA from 2 species
GAGCACGAAGGUUGGCUAAUCCUGGUCGGACAUCAGGAGGUUAGUGCAAUGGCAUAAGCCAGCUUGACUGCGAGCGUGACGGCGCGAGCAGGUGCGAAAGCAGGUCAUAGUGAUCCGGUGGUUCUGAAUGGAAGGGCCAUCGCUCAACGGAUAAAAGGUACUCCGGGGAUAACAGGCUGAUACCGCCCAAGAGUUCAUAUCGACGGCGGUGUUUGGCACCUCGAUGUCGGCUCAUCACAUCCUGGGGCUGAAGUAGGUCCCAAGGGUAUGGCUGUUCGCCAUUUAAAGUGGUACGCGAGCUGGGUUUAGAACGUCGUGAGACAGUUCGGUCCCUAUCUGCCGUGGGCGCUGGAGAACUGAGGGGGGCUGCUCCUAGUACGAGAGGACCGGAGUGGACGCAUCACUGGUGUUCGGGUUGUCAUGCCAAUGGCACUGCCCGGUAGCUAAAUGCGGAAGAGAUAAGUGCUGAAAGCAUCUAAGCACGAAACUUGCCCCGAGAUGAGUUCUCCCUGACUCCUUGAGAGUCCUGAAGGAACGUUGAAGACGACGACGUUGAUAGGCCGGGUGUGUAAGCGCAGCGAUGCGUUGAGCUAACCGGUACUAAUGAACCGUGAGGCUUAACCUUACAACGCCGAAG